AAUGAACGCUGGCGGCAGGCCUGACACAUGCAAGUCGAACGGAUCCUUCGGGAUUAGUGGCGGACGGGUGAGUAACGCGUGGGAAUAUACCCUUUGGUACGGGAUAGCCUCGGGAAACUGGGAGUAAUACCGUAUGUGGUCGAGAGACGAAAGAUUUAUCGCCAAAGGAUUGGCCCGCGUUGGAUUAGGUAGUUGGUGGGGUAAUGGCCUACCAAGCCGACGAUCCAUAGCUGGUUUGAGAGGAUGAUCAGCCACACUGGGACUGAGACACGGCCCAGACUCCUACGGGAGGCAGCAGUGGGGAAUCUUAGACAAUGGGGGAAACCCUGAUCUAGCCAUGCCGCGUGAUCGAUGAAGGCCUUAGGGUUGUAAAGAUCUUUCAGGUGGGAAGAUAAUGACUGUACCACCAGAAGAAGCCCCGGCUAACUCCGUGCCAGCCGCCGCAGUAA
rnacentral:rRNA from 1 species